AGGAUGAACGCUGGCGGCGUGCUUAACACAUGCAAGUCACGGGGGCCCAGCAAUGGGUAACCGGCGAACGGGUGCGUAACACGUGAGCAACCUACCGAAAUGAGGGGGAUAGCCGGCCCAAACGGCCGGGUAAUACCGCAUACGCUCGAGACCAGGCAUUUGGACUCGAGGAAACCUCCGGGGCAUUUCCGAGGGGCUCGCGGCCUAUCAGCUAGUUGGUGAGGUAACGGCUCACCAAGGCGACGACGGGUAGCUGGUCUGAGAGGAUGGCCCAGCCACAUUGGGACUGAGAUACGGCCCAGACUCCUACGGGAGGCAGCAGUGGGGAAUCUGCGCAAUGGCCUAACGGCUGACGCAGCGACGCCGCGUGAGGGAUGACGCUCUUCGGAGUGUUAAACCUCUUUUGCCUGAGACGAAUUGCCAGCUUCAGUCCUGGUUUGACUGUAGUCGGUAGAAGUAAGCACCGGCUAACGUCCGUGCCAGCAGCCGC
rnacentral:rRNA from 1 species